rnacentral:rRNA from 1 species
UACGAAGGUGGCAAGCGUUGUUCGGAUUUACUGGGCGUAAAGGGAGCGUAGGUGGUUAGGUAAGCCCUCCGGGAAAUCUUCAGGCUUAACCUGAAAAGGUCGGGGGGGACUGCCUGGCUAGAGGACGGGAGAGGAGCGCGGAAUUCCCGGUGUAGCGGUGAAAUGCGUAGAGAUCGGGAGGAAGGCCGGUGGCGAAGGCGGCGCUCUGGGCAUUACCUGACGCUGAGGAGCGAAAGUGUGGGGAGCGAACAGG